AACGAACGCUGGCGGCAGGCUUAACACAUGCAAGUCGAACGCCCCGCAAGGGGAGUGGCAGACGGGUGAGUAACGCGUGGGAAUCUACCCAUCCCUACGGAACGACUCCGGGAAACUGGAGCUAAUACCGUAUACGCCCUUUGGGGGAAAGAUUUAUCGGGGAUGGAUGAGCCCGCGUUGGAUUAGCUAGUUGGUGGGGUAAAGGCCUACCAAGGCGACGAUCCAUAGCUGGUCUGAGAGGAUGAUCAGCCACAUUGGGACUGGGACACGGCCCAAACUCCUACGGGAGGCAGCAGUGGGGAAUAUUGGACAAUGGGCGCAAGCCUGAUCCAGCCAUGCCGCGUGAGUGAUGAAGGCCUUAGGGUUGUAAAGCUCUUUCACCGAUGAAGAUAAUGACGGUAGUCGGAGAAGAAGCCCCGGCUAACUUCGUGCCAGCCGCCGCCGUAACAC
rnacentral:rRNA from 1 species